rnacentral:lncRNA from 10 species
CACGCACUGCUCCUCGAACUCAUGCAGCCUCUUUAGCUCCUCGUCGCUAAGGAAGAGCUCUGUGUGAAGGGAGAAGUGUCGGCCACGUGAAAAACAAGAAGAAUCAGUUUCGUGGCGUCAAUGAGAAUUUCACAGCCCCACUUUAAUUAAGCUCUCUUCUCCGCCACUCCUAAGGCAGUUCGCCACUACUCCAAUUGAUUUUUAUCUAAAAAGGGGUUGUCAUACGCCCCAACCCUCUAUCAGUUGGAGCCAAACGGCCCGCUUUUAAACAUAAAAAACAAAAUUACAUUUACUGGGAAAGUAAAGCCAAGUAAUAUUUCCUGGAAAACUUUUUGCACUUAUUUUUAUGAAUAGAGUCAAACGUAUAGCAUUAUUUUCUCAUUUUCUUUAGAUGCAACAAAUUAAGACGUUUUGAAAGGAGCAUUGAAUUUAUAUAGAAAUUUACAGAGUAGAGUUAUUUUAGAGAAUUAGCUCAACUUCUGGUCUCUAUGAGCUGGCUUUCCUAAUAUUAAUUACUAACAAAUUAACGAAACUAGAAUAAAAUGGGUACAAAAUGAGAAGCCUUUUGAAAAGAACAGCAGUUGGACUGAGUGUGGUGCUUUUCACACGAGCAAGUAGUUGAGUGAGAUUUCUGUGAGGAUGUCCAAUUUGAACACUAUUUUGAAAUCAGCCCAACUUAGAAAUGAAGAGCCCUGCACAUACUCAAUCCACGAUCCCGUUCCUCUUGGUCCCCUUCUCUCUUUUUCCUGCAGCGGCCGCUGAGACGCAUAAUGAUGAUGUAGAUGUGGCUUAAAAUGAUCAUCGGUGGGGGCAGGACUGGCCUGUCAUGAAAUGUCAUAAUCAGCUGAUAUCGCUGGAACUUCCACACCUGGUUGGAUAUUGAUUUUACUUCAAAGAAGGCUCACGAUGUAGGAGAUGACGAUCCACUCCUGGAGGGACGGCCAGCCAUCCAUCCGCACCAGGAUGACGUAGUUAAACAGCAGCAGGUAGCCCAAGUUGACACAUCUAAAAGAAUCUUUGUUUCCAACUGGACUGACUCAUUGAGAGGAAACCUUCACUGCACCUCACCAGUGCAGACAGAAGACCUGGAGGCAGGACGGGAGGCAUUUUAUACUUCAGCACGAUAUGGGCCCUGACUUUUCAUUUUCUACAUGGAGACAUAUUGGUUGGUGCUGUCAUCCUCAUGGGGAAACUAUGAAGUUGCAAACAUUAUGAUAACGGGAAACUUUUAAUAGUUUGCUGGAGUGUCUUCUACAUUCCUGGAAACUGGAAAAUGUUACUUACUCCUCCCUGCCUCAGAAAUUUCCUUCCUGAUUCUUUCCACAACUGGGAAGUUAGAUGAGAGGACAUGUGGAUGAGUUGCCCACCCAGAUAUGCGAGCUGACCCUAGAGUCCCCUCAGUUACUGGUGGCAUGUCCAGGAUUUGCUGUGGCCACAGCAGGGCCCCUAUCUCUGUGGCAGGGAAAGAGGCAGAGCUGGAGGUGGCAGUGGGUGAGGCAAAAGCGGGGAGUUAAGGGGUUGGGGGAGGACGUCUGAAGUAGAUCACCUGUCCCCAGUGAUUCACCAUGAUGCCAAGGAAACUUAAGCUUCUGGGUCCCUCACUGGCACAGGCCCCUGUGGAAGGCUUGGGGGAGGGGUGCUAAAAACUGAGUAUUUGUAACUGGGCAGUUUGGUUUUUUUUUCUUUUUUUUCAAGAUCCUGCCUCCCAAGCCUAUAAGCUUUACCAGGAGAGAGGCAGGCCCCACCCCAAGAUCCACUAUCCACUCUUUGAAGAAAGAUUAGAGCCAUGUUCUCAGACUUUGGGCUGCAUCCUAAUCCCUGCGAAGCUGCACAAUGUGUGAUGACUCCACCCUCCACCCGAUCCAGAGGGUCUGGGGUGAGACCCAAGGCUGAGAGGCCUCGAUGGCUUCCUGGCCCCAUCUCCGGCAGCAGCCUCUAUGGCUGGGCUCUCCUGCAGGCUGGGUGCACCCCAGGCCCUCAGAUGGUUCUAACCAGAAUCGAUGGGCAGCAGUGACUUCGACUGUAUCAUCAAUCUUGGCUGCCACAAGGUUGGGUGUCCAGGCCCUCAGCUGACCCUUGAGGUGGGCCCCCACACAGAGCUUUGCUCUGCCCCCAGCCCACCCUCAUUCAUCGCCCAGACCACGGCCAGGGACCCAGCUCCUCAUGUCCCAUACCCUGCUCUCACCUCAUCACCAGUGCAACCACAGCACCGAGGCCUGCCUGGCGGGGGCUGUGGCUUGAUGCUUGGGAUUUCAUGAGAAGUCUCUCUCCUCCCGACUGACGUGGUUGCACAAGCCACAGUGUGCCUGGCCACCCCCACUGGGACCGCCUGCAGCUCGGCCAUUUCCCCCAGAGGCGCUCUGAUCUGCCCUCCUGCCUCCUCUCCUGUUCUUGUUAGUAGAGAGCCACACUCUGGGAGCUGUGUAGACCCAGGGCCUCAGAGAGGGCUGGAGGAUGGCUUGCCAGCCAAGCGGGUCAGUUUGGUGAGCACUUCAGAAUGAGACGCCUUGAUUUGUUUCCCUAUUCCAAGAGUUUACCAUCUGGAUUUAGCCAUGCCCUUGUAAUGACCCCACCAAUUUCAUGAAAAAUGGAAUCUGUGAAUUUGCUCUUUAAAUCACUAGUCAUCUCUGUUCAUUUAAAAAUAAAAUUAUAGUUCCUUAAGUUUGUAUUGCUAAAGGCAUCAGAAGAAUUCAUCUUAAGCAAAUAGCAUGUGACUAUUUUGCCUUAUGAGAUGGUGUAUUUGGGACUAGGAUGGCCAUAUAUCAAUAUGUGACAGGAUAUCGAGAUCCAAUGUUAGCCAGAGAUCUCAAUUAGUCCCAGUUUUGUUCUCAUAAUUCAUUUUAAUUCAGUGAAUUUUUAGAUACUUUUUUAAGCCCUUGAAGUUUUUCUUGAUUCCAACAUAUCAAAGCAUUCAAAAUAUACUGAAUGUCAAAUGUUCAGGAGGAGGCCUCACUGUGUAAAACCAGAACUUGACA